rnacentral:misc_RNA from 1 species
UAUCCUCCGACUGGAGAACACAAUACGUGUCCCGUGGGUAACGAUGACGUUGGCAGGCUAUGCCCGGUUGAUAUCGUCUUUCAGGAGGCGGAGGAGACCUGCGUUUGCUGAAGAUCGGCGCAGCGGAGGAAGACUAUCUGGGAAACCUCGGGCAACACAGAUCACGGACGUAUCCCGUCGAUCAAUUCGGGUAUAAUCCAAGGGCGGAGUCGCGGAGCACAUUCUGGUUCACUGCGUGAUGAACACGAGAUUUUCAAGAUUGUGUUUGUACCUCGUGGGGGUGCCGGCGGGGUGCAUUGCCUGUGCCUCAAUCGUCGAGGGACAGAUAAUCGAUCCCUCCACAAUGACCAAUAAAGUCGUGG